GCCUAUAUAAAUGACAAAGAUGUUCUCUGUGAUAUAAACACUGUAAUAUUGAAUAAAUUCUGAAUUCUGUUGCACAACUUGACCAUAUCAUAUUUGGAGUUUCUCUCACUUCUAAAACAUGUAAAUGGAAUCACGAUUUUUUUCUGUAUUCAUGGCACUUAAUAGGAUGGGGUCCCUAAAAUGGUCCUCUACAAUGUCCCCAUGUUUGUAAUGGCCCAAGGGGUUCUUCCUGACUACCACACAAACAAAAUCCACUGAAGACCAUGGCAUUAAAGAGUUUCAUUGAUGCGAAGCCAGCUAUGCCACGUGGGAGAUGGAGUUAUUACUCAAAUCAAUCUUGCUAACGUCUUGGAGAUGAGGGAUUUUUCCAAGAUAGUGUUGUGGGCAAGGGGCUAGGAUAGGGGGCCUGUUGAUUGGUUGGGUGCAGGAGAUGAAAUCAUAGAGAAUUAAAGCUGUCCUUUUGGGCUAAGUCAGUUCCUGAGUGGGGGCCACAGGACUGGUUGGCAGGUGGGGACAUCCAGUUGUCAGAAAUGCAAAAAUUUGAAAAGCGUUUUUUCUUUUUCUUUUGAGAUGGAGUUUCACUCUUUCUGCCUAGGCUGGAGUGCAAUGGUGCAAUCUUGGUUCACCGCAACAUCCACCUCCUGGGUUCAAGUGAUUGCCUCAGCCUUCCCUAGUAGCUGGGAUUACAGGCAUGUGCCACCAUGCCCGGCUAAUUUUGUAUUUUUAGUAGAGACAGGAUUUCUCCAUGUUGGUCAGUUUGGUCUUGAACUCCUGACCUCAGGUUAUCCACCCACUUCAGCCUCCCAAAGUGCUGGGAUUACAGGCGUGAGCCACCACGCCCAGCCCUGAAGAGCAUUUUUUUCUAAGAAUACAUAUAGAUUUUCCACAUUCAUCAGAUUUUUCUUUUCCUUUCUUUUUUUUUUUUUUUUGUUUAAUUUUUAUUUUGAGACAGAGUCUUGCUCUGUCACCCAGGCUGGAGUGCAAUGGUGAGAUCUUGGCUCACUGCAAACUCUGCCUCCUGGAUUGUUCAAGUGAUUCUCCUGCCUCAGCCUCCUGAGUAGCUGGGAUUAUAGGCACCUGCCACCAUGCCCAGCUAAUUUUUGUAUUUUUAAUAGAGUUGGGGUUUCACUAUAUUGUCCAGGCUGGUCUCGAACUCCUGACCUGAGCUGAUCCACCCACCUCGGCACCCCAAAGUGCUGGGAUUACAGGCAUGAGCCACUGCACCUGGCCUACUCUGCUUUUUCAAAAUGCUUGUGGUAAAAACAAGAUAGAUAUGUUGGAGUUAGUAUUCAUUUAGAGAUUUAAAAAUGUCUUCAAGAGGGGUUAAGUGUGGUCAGUUGUGUCUUUAUGGCCAAGCACUUAGAUAAAUUGAAAAAAGAUGAAAAUCAUGUAACAUAAUCACAAAAGAUUGUGUUCACAAUGAUGUCAAGGAUCUCAUGAAGAUUCCUUAAUAUAGACAACAUUUUAACCAUAGCCAUAUUUUAAGCAGUCAUCUUUUUUCUCUACAACGUAUUCCUGGACUGCUUUGUUAAAAAGUCACAUUUUCUUUUAAUAAUUACUCAUAUCCUGAAGCAGCAUCAAACAAAUUCCAAUUCCAAUGAAUAUCUCAUAAAAGCAAAAACAUGGCCAGGUGCGGUGGCUCACGCUUAUAAUCCCAGCACUUUGGGAGGCCGAGGCAGGCGGAUCACCUGAGGUCAGGAGUUUGAGACCAGCCUGGCCAACAUGAUGAAACCUUGUCUCUACUAAAAAUACAAAAAUUAGCUGGGUGUGGUGGCGGGUGCCUGUAAUCCUAGCUACUCGAGAGGCUGAGGCAGGAGAAUCGCUUGAAACUGGAAGGUGGAGGUUGCAGUGAGACAAGAUCAUGCCACUGCACUCCAGCCUGGGCAACAAGAGCAAAACUCCAUCUCGAGUUAAUGGGUGCAGCACACGAACAUGGCACAUGAAUACAUAUGUAACAAACCUGCACGUUGUGCACAUGUACCCUAAAACUUAAAGUAUAAUAAUAAAAUUAAAAAAAAAUUCUAGUCCAAUAACAUUCAAAAGAGAUUUACUUAGCAAAAAAAUCCUAAACAACCCUUUUGUCAAUCAAGAGGAGAAUAAAUAAAUUGUGGUAUGUUCACACCAAAACCUCUACUCAACUAUAAAAAGGAACCUACUGAUGCAUGCAGUGUGAGUGAAUCUCACAUUGUGCUCAGUGAGAUGUGUUAAACACAAAAGGGCACAUACUGUGUGAUUUUAAUUACAUGAAAUUCUAGAACAGGCAAAGUUAACCUAUAGAGAGAGCAAUCAGAUGAGUGGUUGCCUGGAGUGGGGAGUGAAAUGGAGAUUGACUGUAAAGGGGAGUGAAGGAGGUGAAAAUGUUUUAUACCUUUGAUAAAAGUCAUCUACUUGAUAUUUCAAAUAUGUAGAACUUAUUGUCCGUAAAUUAUGUCUCAAUAAAGCUGGUUUAUUAAAAAAAAGGCAAAAACAUAACAAUGGGGUAGUCUUUAGUAAUAUACAAGGGUUAUACUAUGCUUGGAGUACUGUGACUUUGGAUACAGAUGUCUAACAAGAUUGGUUAUUUUACAGCCUUCAAUGCACUCUGAAGUCCACACAAAACACAAACUAUUCUGCUUUUCUGUCCAGUCCAAAAAUAGCCCUAAGAACAUUAACAUUAACAAUGUGCUUCCCUUUUUAGAAUUCUGGAGAAUCAUGGGGAAAUUAUGUAUAAGAUAUAGGGCUCUUUUCAAAAUCAACUUUUCAGAGAAAACUGAAAUAUCCUUUCUCUUUCUUCUGAUAAAUUUCCCUGAAAGAAACAGAAACACACCAAGUAAUCCCAUUGAUUUUUUUUUCUUUUUUUUUUUUUCUGAGAUGCAAUCUUGCUCUGUCAUUUCAGCUGGUGUGCAGUGACACGAUCCCGGCUCCACUGCAACCUCCACCUCCCAGGUUCAAGCGAUUCUCCUGCCUCAGCCUCCAGAGUAGCUGGAAUUACAGGCAGUCAACACCAAGCCUGGCUAAUUUUUGUAUUUUUAGUAGAGACGGGGUUCCACCAUGUUGGCCAGGCUGGUCUCAAACUCAUGACCUCAGGUGAUCCACCCACCUUGGCCUCCCAAAGUGCUGGGAUUACAGACAUGAGCCACCAUGCCCGGCCUCAGUUUCAGCACUUUUUUUUUUUUUUUUUGUGAUGGAGUUUUGCUCUUGUUGCCCAGGCUGGAGUGCCAUGGUGCCAUCUCAGCUCACUGCAACCUCUGCCUCCCAGGUUGAAGCAAUUUCCCGCCUCAGCCUCCUGAGUAGCUGGGAUUACAGGCGUGUGCCACCAUGCCUGACUAAUUUUGUAUUUUUAGUAGAGAUGGGGCUUUGCUGUGUUGGCCAAGCUGGUCUCGAACUCUGACCUCAAAUGAUCCACCACCUCAGCCUCCAAAGUGCUGGGAUUGCAGGCGUGAGCCACCUUGACCGGCCAGUUUGAGUGCUUUCUAUCAAUCCACGUUUGUCUACUGACUCUUCCUCACCUUCAUAUUGUUAAUUGAGUCCAUCUAGUGAGUUUUAAAUUUUUGUUAUUGUAUUUUUGUUUUAAAAUUUCCAUUUGAGGCUAGGUGUUGUGGCUCAUGCCUGUAAUCCCAGCACUCUGGGAGGCCGAAGUGGUCGAAUCACUUCAAUUCAGGAGUUUGCGACCAGCCUGGGUGACAUGGCAAGACCCUAUCUCUACAAAAAAUACAAAAAUUGUGCACGCUUUGGUAGCACAUAUACUAAAAUUGGAAAGAUAUAGAGAAGAUUAGCAUGGCCCCUGCACAAAGAUGACAUGCAAAUUUGUGUUGCGUUCCAUAUUUGCUUGAACCUGGGACAAGGAGGUUGCAGUGAGCCGAGAUCGUGCCAGGGCACUCCAGCCUGGGCAACAAGAGCGAAACUCCGUCUCAAAACCUCAGAACAAAACAAAACAACAAAACAAGGCCGGGUGUAGUGGCUCAUGCCUGUAAUCCCGGCACUUUGGGAGGCGGAGGCAGGUGGAUCACCUGAGGUAAGGGGUUCAAGACCAGCCUGGGCAACAUGGUGAAACCCCCGUCUCUACUAAAAAUACAAAAAUUAGGCCAGGCAUGGUGGCUCAUGCCUGUAUUCCCAGCACUUUGGGAGGCCGAGGUGGGAAGAUCACAAGGUCAGGAGAUCGAGACCAUCCUGGCUAACACGGUGAAACCCUGUCUCUACUAAAAAUACAAAAAAUUAGCUGGGCAUGGUUGUGGGCACCUGUAGUCCCAGCUACUCAGGAGGCUGAGGCAGGAGAAUCACUUGAACUCAGGAGGUGGAGGUUGCAGUGAGUGAGAUCAGGUCACUGCACUCCAGCCUGGGCGACAGAGCAAGACUCUGUCUCAAAAGAAAAAAAAAAAGAAAAAUUAGCCAGGCGUGGUGGCGGGCGCCUGUAAUCCCAGGUACUUGGGAGGCCAAGGAACUAGAAUCGCUUGAAUCAGGGAGGCAGAGGUUGCAGUGAGCUAAGAUUGUGCCAUUGCACUCUAGCCUGGGUGACAGAGUGAGACUCCAUCUCAAAAAACAAAACAAAGAAAAAAAAAACUAACAAAAGGAUAAUAAGUGAAUACUAAGCAACUCUACCCAUAUAAAUCCAACAAGUUGGAUGAAAUGGACCAAUUCUUUGAAAACUACAAACUACCAAAAAUCACUCAAUAUGAAACAUAAUUUUUAAAAUCUUGUAACAAUUUUAAAAAUUGAAUUCAUGGUUUUUUAUUUUUAUUUUAUUUUAUUGUGAGACUGCAUCUCACUCUGUCACCCAUACUGGAGUGCAGUGGCACAAUCACAGCUCACCGCUGCCUUAACUUCCUGGGCUCAGGUGAUCCUCCCACCUCAGCCUCCUGAGUAGUUAGGACUACGGGCGCCCGCCAAUACACCCAGCUAGUUUUUUAUUUUUUGUACAGACGGGGUUUUGCCAAGUUGCCCAGGCUGGUCUUCAACUCCUGGGGCUCAAGCAAUCCGCCUGCCUCAGCCUCCCAAAGUGUUAAGAUUACAGGCAUGAGCCACUAGGCCCAGCUGAAUCCUUUUUUUUUUUUUUUUUUUUGAGAUGGUGUCUCAGUCUGUCACCCAGGCUGGAGUGCAGUGGCACAAUCUUGGCUCACUGCAACCUUUGCCUCCUGGGUUCAAGCGAUUCUUUUGCCUCAGCCUCCCAAGUAGCUGGGACUACAGGUGCCCACCACCACACCCGGCUAACUUUUUGUAUUUUCAGAAGAGACAGAGUUUACUAUGUUGGCCAGGCUGGUCUCAAACUCCUGACUUCAUGCAAUCCACCCACCUCAACCUCCCAAAGUCUUAGGAUUACAGGCGUGAGCCACCACGCCUGUCCUUGAAUUCAUAGUUUUAAUAAAAGAAUUUCUUGUCUUCGUGGUCACAUACAACUAGUUUGGUGAUUCCCUGGAAGGACCCAUGUGACUCUAGAUCAAGUUAUACUCUAGGUGAAGGUUUAUUACAGUGGAGGAUACAAUACAAAGACAGCAGGAAAAAGGAUAUUAAUAGAUGAAGGCUGGAAGGUCAAAUGCAUACUUAUCCUCUGCAGGGACAGUACAGACUUAUCUUUUCCAGGAGCAAACUGCAAGGACUUGUGUGAGAUGUCCUUGCCCAGGAAAUCCCACUUGAGUUCUGGAGUCAAAAUUUGUGUGGUUAGGCCAGGCACAGUGGCUCACCCCUGUAAUCCCAGGACUUUGGGAGGCCGAGAUGGGAGAAUUGCUUGAGUCCAGGAGUUUGAGACCAGCCUGGACAACAUGGUGAGAUCUCGUCUUUAUUUAAAAAAAAAAAAAAGGCUGGGCGUGGUGGCUUAUGCCUGUCAUCCCAGCACUUUGGGAGACCAAGGCGGGUGGAUCACCUGAGGUCAGGAGUUUGAGACCAGCCUAGGCAACAUGGUGAAACCCCAUCUCUACUAAAAAUACAAAAAUAUUAGCUGGGCAUGUUGGCAGGCACCUGUAAUCCCAGCUACUCUGGAGGCUGAGGCAGGAGAAUUGCAUGAACCUGGGAGGCAGAGGUUGCAGUGAGCCUAGGUCGUGCCACUGCACUCCAGCCUAGGCGACAAGAGCAAGACUCCUUCUGGCUCAUGGCUGUAAUCCUAGCACUUUGGGAGGCUGACGGGGGCGGAUCACCUGAGGUCAGGAGGUCAAGAGCAGCCUGGCCAACAUGGUAAAACCCCAUCUCUACUAAAAAUGUAAAAAAAUUAGCUGGGUAUGGUGGCACACACCUGCAAUCCCAGCUACUUGGGAGGCUGAGGCGGGAGGAUCACUUGAACCCAGGAGGCUGAGGUUGCAGUGAGCUGAGAUCACACCAUUGCACUCCAACCUGGGUGACAUUCCUGCCAUGUGACCAAACACAGCCCUAAACCACCAGGUUGGGCAUCAUGAAUCUUUUAUUCUUUUUUUUUUUUUUCAAAAAUGGGGUCUCACUAUGUCGCCUAGGCUGGAGUGCAGUGGCAUGAUCAUAGCUCACUGUGGCUUUUUUUUUUUUUUUUUUUUGAGACAGAGUCUCGUUCUGUCACCAGGCUGGAGUGCAGUGGUGUGAUCUUGGCUCACUGCGACCUCUGUCUCCUGGGUUCACAUGAUCCUCCUGCCUCAGCCUCCCAAGUAGCUGAGAUUACAGGCACUCACCACCACGUCCAGCUAAUUUUUUGUAUUUUCAGUAGAGACAGGUUUUUGCCAUGCUGGCCAGGCUGAUCUUGAACUCCUGACCUCAAGCGAUUCCGCCUGCCUCGGCCUCGCCAAAUUCUGGGAUUACAGGCGUGAGCCACUGUGCCUGGCUAAGCAUCAUGAAUCUGUAUGUUUACUUUAAACCUGCUGACAGCCUGGUUCAUCUGGGCUCACUGUUUUGGGCGUGGAGAAUAACAUCUGACCCGGUAACUAUGUGAAUAUUCCAGGAGUUUGGUUUUCAGAGUUUGACCAAUGGCCACGCUUUGGCUACAGAAAUAAGUGAGAAAUGAGUGAAUCAGACCUGUUGUGUUAACUCUUUCCUCCCACUCUUGAAAAAGGUAUCUCCAGACCCAGAUAGUUUCACUGGAGAAGUCUGCUCAUAGUUAAAGAAAUAGCAACACCAAUUACACGUAAUCUCCAGAAAACAGAAGAAGGGGCACUUCCAGACUGACGAGGCCAGUACAGUUGACCCUUAUAACUGCAGGUUCCCCAUCCAUGGAUUCAGCCAACCACAGAUUGAAAAUAUUCCAAAAUAUGGACUCUAGGCACGGUGGCUCACACCUGUAAUCCCGAGAAUCACUUGAACCCAGGAGGCAGAGGUUGCAGUGAGCCGAGAUCACGCCACUGCACCACUGCACCACUGCACCACUGCACUCCAGCCUGGAUGAUAAGAGUGAAACUCCGUCUCAAAAAAAAAAAAUCACUCUGGGUGGGCGUGGUGGCUCACACUUGUAAUCUCAACAUUGUGGGAGGCCAAUGAGAAAGGAUUGCUUGAGCCCAAGAGUUUGAGACCAGCCUGGGCAAAUAGCAAGACCCUGUCUCUACAAAAAAAUUUUAAAAUUAGCUGGGCAUGGUGGUGCAUCUCUACUGUAAUCCCAGGUACUUGGGAGGCUGAGAUGGGAGGAUCACAUGAGCCCAGGAGCUCCAGGCUGCAGUGAUCUAUGAUUGCAACACUGUACUCCAGCCUGGGGAACACAGCGAGAUCCUGUCUCAAAAACAAACAAAAAAACAAAAACAGAAAAAAACUCAAUUCUGAAAACUUUGCCUUAACUUGUAGUCUAGAGUUGAAGACCCCUCCGCUAAGCUCUGGUGAGAGGCUAACUGAAUAAGAACACUUUGACCAUCAUAUUAUAAUAAUUGCUUUCUCUCUUUCUUUCUUUCUUUCCCUCUCUCUCUUUUUUCUCCCCUCCC
rnacentral:lncRNA from 10 species